ensembl:miRNA
GCAGUGGAUAUUUGGCAUUGUGGAUCCUGUAUGAAAACAGUAGCUAGUGGAGCAUAGAUAUGCAAUACCACCUCUGCAGUCACAGUCAAAUCUGCC